rnacentral:rRNA from 1 species
AUAUUAUUAGGCGGAGGAAAAGAACUAACAAGGAUUUCCCAAGUAAGGGCGACUGAAAGGGAAAAAGCCCAGCGCUGAAUUCAGUAGCGUCUCGCUGCUUGGACCUGUAGCGUUUAGGCAAGCCUUUCCGGCAAGCUGUGUCUUGGCAGUCCAAGUCCCCUUGAGCGGGGCCACAGCCCAUAGAGGGUGCAAGGCCCAUACGGAGUU